GAGGACUAGGGUUGGUGGAGUGAACAUAGCAUGAAGGGGUUAGUGCACCACAGCUAGCGGGGAGGGGGGGGGAGUCCGGGAAAAGAUCUGGAGCUCCCGAAGAGGCAAGAGACUUUUACUUCCCUCUUUGUUUCCUGCUGCGCGAGGAGAGGGGAUUAAGAGCGCUGCUUAAAGGAGCUCCAGAGACGGGCGCGAGUCGUGGCUAAAAGCGCGGACCCCAGAGACGGGCAUGAGACGCUAAGGCUGCUGCUGCCGCCACCAAGAAGCCUGUGUGCGAGCACAGGUCACUAUCCACACCCCGCCUCCGGGGAGCCUGUGCAGCCCGCCAGUGCCAGGUUCCCGGGAUCCAGGGACAACUUCCCUGGGAGAACGCACGCCUCAGAAGCAGCGGAUUAAAGCUCCACAAUCAACUUGAUGUACCCUGCAUCUGUGGAAUACAUGAAUAGACAACGAAUCAUCCCAAAUUGAGGAGGUGGACUUUGAGAGCAAGAUUUAUCAUUUUUUCCCCUUUACCUCUUUUUCUGAGCGUGUAUGUGUAUGCUUCUCUGUGAGAUUUUCCCUGUAUAGCUUGCUUCCACCAUUUGUCCUAGGGUUCUAUCCGUCUUUUUAAAAAAUUUUUUUCUUAAUAAUUAUUUUUAUUUUAAUAACUUUAUUUUAUAUUACUUUACCUUCUUUCUUUCUUUCUUUCUUUCUUUCCUUCCUUCCUUCUUUCCUUCCCUCAUUUAGACAUAGAAUCAUCCCAAAUUGAGGAAGUGGACUUUGAGAGCAAGAUUUAUCAUUUUUUCCCCUAUUCCUCUUUUUGUGAGUUUCUAAGUGUAUGCUUCUGUAUGAGAUUUUGUCUGUAUAGCUUUGCUUCCACCAUUUAUCCAAAGGUUCUAUCCGUUCGUUUUUUUCUUAAUUUUUUUUAUAAUAAGUAUUUUUUAAUUUAAUAACUUUAUUUUACUUUAUCUUCUUUCUUUCUUUCCUUUUUCUUCCUUCCCUCCUCCCUUCCUUCCUUCCUUCCUUCCUCCCACCGUCCGUCCCUCCCUCCGUCCUUUCUUUCUUUCUUUCCUUCUUUUCUUCUUUCUUUCUUCCUUCCUUAAAUUAAAUUCAAUAUAGAUAUUUAAAUUUAAGGUAAAAUUAAAUUAUAAUUUGAAAUUAUAUGUGGAGUUUUAUUUCCUAAAGAAUAUUUUGGAAAUUUCAACUCCUAUUUUAACUUAUAUUUUCAGAGAAGGUAUUUGGUCCAAAUGAAGAAUAUCUUCAAUUAUAGUUCUUCUAUUGCAAGCAAAAAAGGAUUUAUACUUCUUUUCAUGAAAUACGGUUGUUUGACAACAGAAGGAUAAAUAUUUUAUAUUUUUAGAAACAACAGUCAGGCUACUGAUAUUCUUAAUGAGUUUUAAUAAAUCUGAAUGCUUCUUAUCAUCUACUCUUUAGCUGGUACCUGAGGAAUUGUAUACCUCCGGGAGGAUAUGUGCUCCAGACCCGUAAAUAUGCAGUUCACAGAGCCCACCACCAGAGGACAAUAAUGAAGUAAAAUCUUGAAACCAUGUAGUGAAAAUAGUGGGAGUUUAAAUAAAAGCAACGUUUCACAGUAUGCUUUUCUGACCAAUGUUAUAUCUAAUACCCUAAUGGAUUAUAUGUACACGGAUUCUGAAAAGUCAGCAGCACACUUCACUGGUCAAUUUCUAUGAUAAGGGGAACGGAAUUUGAGUGUAGAAAAACAGUAUACUUACAUCUUAAAAUUCCACCCCUACAGAAUCUACUCACUAUUGAAAACUGGUAAGAAUAAUAGCUUUCUGUGUCGCAGUGACCAGUUAACAUUUUCAAGAGUAGAAUUUAUCUGCCUAUGAUGCUCAAAUACACAGGAAAAAUGCAUAUCUAGGACAAUGGAUAAACUCUAUAUGACAUGAGAAAAUAGUUAUUCAAAUGGAAAAAGUAUAAGAUCUACAAGGCACAGUUUUAUAUGCAUUAGUGUGGAUAUAUAUACAUAAAGAAGCUCUAAGAAACAUAAAAAUCACUUCCAGGAAGCAAUUUUAGGUAGAAGAGAAUUAACAUGGAUGAGGAAGAAAAGAGAGCUGGUUUUAAAAUAGUUUCAUUGACUUGUUUUUUUUUUGUUUGUUUAUUUAUUUGUUUUAUUUAUUUGGUCUUUGGAAUAUAAGAAAACAGUGGCUUUCAGAUCAGUAUCCCAGUGGAACAAAGGGACCGAGGUCUAUCCUGGAGCCCAGCCAUUGUUUGACUAUCUUGUAAUAAUACUGGUGAAAUACAACCAAAUCAUUUGAACUAUAAGCAUCCUCUCUGACAAUAAACUUAAGACACCAACAUUAUAUAUUAAAGAAAGUAAAGAGAGAAUACUGUUUUCUUUAGAGAGAAAAUACAGAUCCUGGACCAAAUCAAUAAUGUCAGCAAACCUCAUGGGUAUAAAAUAUUCUGCUGUCUAUCAUUUAGAACAUGCCUCUAGAGGAGGGAAACUGGGCGAUAAUUUCCCCAGAUUUUAUAUUUAAUUCAAAUAUUUUAGAUAAGAGGCAUCUCUAGUAAAACAUUGUAUUAUUGAUUCUUUCCAAUAUGAUAGCUCACAGGAGUUCCUCUUUCCUUCUCAAAUACAUAUGGGGAAAUGGAGGUGGGUGUGGGUUAUAGGAAGCAUCUAAAUAGAGCAUAAUAAUCAACAGUUUGUUUUUUAAAAAUAGAAAUUUCUAUUCAAAUUGUUUCCAGAGACAGAAACACACAGAGACAAUUCCAUGUGACAAUAGUGAAAGAGACCAGAGUGAUGCAGCUGCAAAUCAAAAAACUGCCAACACCAGUGAUUGAUGGCCACCACCAGAAUCUGGUUAAGACAAAGAAGGAUCCUCCCCUUGAGGCGUCAGAAAGAACAUGGCCCUCUCAACACUUUGAGUUUGAACUUCUGGCCUCUAGAGCUGUGAUAAAAUAAAUUUCUGUUCUUUUAAGCUAACAAGUUUGUGGUAUCUUGUUAUGGUAGCCCUAGAGAUGACAGUAUUUGAUUCCUGAGCUGGCAACUGUAUUUUGACUAUGUAAUGACUAUUCCAAGAUAAUCAACAGACACAAAGAUAAAGGCAAAACUGAGACUAAGCCCAGUUCUUUUUAUUCCCAGAAUAAUAAAUGAUUUUUUAAUUAA